ACAAUAAUUACUCUACGAUGAAUUACAUGUCAGUUAACGUCGCCGUUGAUGUUUAAAGUAAUUGUAAUACAUACUUGAAGCCACAGAAAAUAAACAUAAGAUAAGAUAAUCUUAAACGAAGUACAAUACUUCAACACAAACUAUGUAGUCUUAGUAGUGAUCGAAAUAAAAGUACAAAGAUGUACAUACAUACUUGAAAUCUGUCUAUCUAUAACCUUUUCUUCUUGAAUAUUCAUCAUCUUGAUCACAAGAAAGGUAUGGAAUGAACAUAGAAGACUUCCAAAGUCUGGUGGCCACAAUUGAUAUACAGAUACGUCAAAAACGGAGGAUGGUUCGGGAGCAAGAGUAUACAGUGGUAAUAUAAACUCUCACAGUUCAGCCCCAUUGUGUGUGUCCCAAACUGGUGUGGAGAUAUCGCGAAGAACUUAACAACCAAGUGGCCCGCAACAGUGUAAAACUUGUUUGGGUGCCACGUUAUCGAGGUCAUCAAAGAACGGACUACAAUGAAAGAGCCGAUGAACUUGCUAGAAGCGAAUCGGGAACGAGAUACUUCGGUCCAGAAACGGUUCUGCACCGAAAGUACAAUCAGAAACCGAAUAAAAUGCUGGGUUCGGGCAUCUCAUGAGAAGAGUUUCGUAACUCAGAACUGCGAAAAGAGAGCUGCAGAACUGCUAAUGCCAAAAUGAACAGGAAGCGCCUAAGUUGCAGAUUGUCCAACAAAGAGACUGACACAGUGAGACAUAUUUUGUGCGACGGGGAGCAGACUAAAUCCAAAUACAACUGGCACUCCCCCCAAAAAAUUGCUAUUAACUGGUGGAGGGUAAAAACAUUUCGAAUGGGUAUAAUAAAAGAAUAUGGAAGGUAAGUACAAUAAGCCUCAAGGCUUCCAAAGCCAGAUUUAUUAAUAUUCCUGAAAUAUGCUCCAACUACAUUUGUAGAAAGUUCAUUUCCAAUGUCUUAAUUAAUUUUAAGUCAUCAAAGACACAGUUUUUAGACCAAAAAUAUUGAAAAGCAUUUAGUUGUAGCGAUUGAUGAUAAAAUUUUAAGUGGUUACAAUGUUUAAUUAUUAAUUAACAAUUAUUUAGCUAUUAAUAUAUUAUAUUAUUAAUGUUAUGUUGUAUAAAUAUAUGUAUUUAUGUUAAGUUAAUAUUACGUUAAUUCACUUUGUAUAAUAAUUUUAAAAAACAGUGUGGCACUUGCGGAGUGCCCAGUGACGGUUUAAGGCAUCAUGGGGCCCUAGGCGGCCAUAAGAAGUAGGCCCCUUUAUAGCGACCAUUUACUUAAAACAAAUUUACACAGAUAUUUAUGUUGUUUUGGGAAGUAGUUACUCCAAAAAUAAAUUACGGCAAUGUAAAAUCA